AACGAACGCUGGCGGCAUGCUUAACACAUGCAAGUCGAACGGCAGCAUGCUCUUCGGAGUGAUGGCGAGUGGCAAACGGGUGCGUAACACGUGGGUAACCUACCCUUAUGUGGGGGAUAACAGUUGGAAACGGCUGCUAAUACCGCAUAUCUCCUACGGGAGAAAGGCCGCAAGGUCGCAUAAGGAGGGGCUCGCGUCAGAUUAGCUAGUUGGUGUAGGUAACGGCUCACCAAGGCAACGAUCUGUAGCUGGUCUGAGAGGAUGAUCAGCCACACUGGGACUGAGACACGGCCCAG
rnacentral:rRNA from 1 species